UACGGAGGGUGCGAGCGUUGUCCGGAAUCAUUGGGCGUAAAGGGCGCGUAGGUGGCGGGACAAGCGUGCGGUGAAAGCUUGGGGCUCAACCCCGAGUCGGCCGUGCGAACUGUUUUGCUUGAGCACUGUAGAGGCAGGCGGAAUUCCGGGUGUAGCGGUGGAAUGCGUAGAGAUCCGGAGGAACACCAGUGGCGAAGGCGACACGCUGGGCCGUACCUGACGCUAAAGCGCGACAGCAUGGGGAGCAAACGGG
rnacentral:rRNA from 1 species